rnacentral:rRNA from 4 species
AGAGUUUGAUCAUGGCUCAGAUUGAACGCUGGCGGCAGGCCUAACACAUGCAAGUCGAACGGUAACAGGAAGCAGCUUGCUGCUUUGCUGACGAGUGGCGGACGGGUGAGUAAUGUCUGGGAAACUGCCUGAUGGAGGGGGAUAACUACUGGAAACGGUAGCUAAUACCGCAUAACGUCGCAAGACCAAAGAGGGGGACCUUCGGGCCUCUUGCCAUCGGAUGUGCCCAGAUGGGAUUAGCUUGUUGGUGGGGUAACGGCUCACCAAGGCGACGAUCCCUAGCUGGUCUGAGAGGAUGACCAGCCACACUGGAACUGAGACACGGUCCAGACUCCUACGGGAGGCAGCAGUGGGGAAUAUUGCACAAUGGGCGCAAGCCUGAUGCAGCCAUGCCGCGUGUAUGAAGAAGGCCUUCGGGUUGUAAAGUACUUUCAGCGGGGAGGAAGGGAGUAAAGUUAAUACCUUUGCUCAUUGACGUUACCCGCAGAAGAAGCACCGGCUAACUCCGUGCCAGCAGCCGCGGUAAUACGGAGGGUGCAAGCGUUAAUCGGAAUUACUGGGCGUAAAGCGCACGCAGGCGGUUUGUUAAGUCAGAUGUGAAAUCCCCGGGCUCAACCUGGGAACUGCAUCUGAUACUGGCAAGCUUGAGUCUCGUAGAGGGGGGUAGAAUUCCAGGUGUAGCGGUGAAAUGCGUAGAGAUCUGGAGGAAUACCGGUGGCGAAGGCGGCCCCCUGGACGAAGACUGACGCUCAGGUGCGAAAGCGUGGGGAGCAAACAGGAUUAGAUACCCUGGUAGUCCACGCCGUAAACGAUGUCGACUUGGAGGUUGUGCCCUUGAGGCGUGGCUUCCGGAGCUAACGCGUUAAGUCGACCGCCUGGGGAGUACGGCCGCAAGGUUAAAACUCAAAUGAAUUGACGGGGGCCCGCACAAGCGGUGGAGCAUGUGGUUUAAUUCGAUGCAACGCGAAGAACCUUACCUGGUCUUGACAUCCACGGAAGUUUUCAGAGAUGAGAAUGUGCCUUCGGGAACCGUGAGACAGGUGCUGCAUGGCUGUCGUCAGCUCGUGUUGUGAAAUGUUGGGUUAAGUCCCGCAACGAGCGCAACCCUUAUCCUUUGUUGCCAGCGGUCCGGCCGGGAACUCAAAGGAGACUGCCAGUGAUAAACUGGAGGAAGGUGGGGAUGACGUCAAGUCAUCAUGGCCCUUACGACCAGGGCUACACACGUGCUACAAUGGCGCAUACAAAGAGAAGCGACCUCGCGAGAGCAAGCGGACCUCAUAAAGUGCGUCGUAGUCCGGAUUGGAGUCUGCAACUCGACUCCAUGAAGUCGGAAUCGCUAGUAAUCGUGGAUCAGAAUGCCACGGUGAAUACGUUCCCGGGCCUUGUACACACCGCCCGUCACACCAUGGGAGUGGGUUGCAAAAGAAGUAGGUAGCUUAACCUUCGGGAGGGCGCUUACCACUUUGUGAUUCAUGACUGGGGUGAAGUCGUAACAAGGUAACCGUAGGGGAACCUGCGGUUGGAUCACCU